GGGCUCUUAGCUUAGCCAGGUAGAGCGCUCGGCUCAUAACCGAGUGGCCGCCGGUUCGAACCCGGCAGGGCCCACCA
rnacentral:tRNA from 1 species